UUGGUUGGGGAUGUUGGUGUUGGUUGGGUCAUCGGUCGGGGGUGUCGGUCGGCUCGUGGGUGACGCCGGUGCCACCCCCGCCCGCAGUGACGGCGAGGAGAAGGCCUCGGGCAGCUCGGGGCGCUCUCUGGGCGCGGCGGGCGCGGCGCUGGGCAGCGACGACAGCCUGGCCGGCUACGGGGGCAGCGCCGACGUGCAGUUCAACGAGGACGGCUCCUUCAUCGGGCAGUACAGCGGCACCCGCGGCACCGCCGCCGGCAGCUCCGGCCCCGCCAGCCCCUCCAACGCCGCCCCCCUCGACUGAGCGGGACCCCCGGGGCGGGUGGGGGGACCCCCGGGGUUGAGGGGAGUCCCCCUGGCAGUGGGGACCCCCCUCGACUGAGUGGGACCCCCAGAAUGGGUGGGGGGACCCUGAAGGUUGAGGGGAGCCCCCAUGGCAGUGGGGACCCCCCUCGACUGAGUGGGACCCCUGGAGUGGGUGGGGGGACCCUCGGGGUCGGGGGGAGCCCCCACGGCAGUGGGGACCCCCCUUAAGUGAACGGGGCCCCCCGGGGGCGGGGGGGACCCGGGGGCUCUGGGGUGCCCUGGGGAAGGGGGGGGCUGCCCAGACGGCACCAGGGGAGCCCCCCAUGGCAGUGGGGACCCCCCAGGGAUGUGAUGGGACCCCCAGAGGGACCCCUGGGGGUGGGGGACACUGUGGGAAAGGGGGGGCACCACUGGGGGAGCCCCCCCAUGGCAGUGGGGACCCUCCAGGGAUGUGAUGGGACCUUCAGGGCACUGGGGACCCCCCCAGUACUGGGAGGGACCCCCCCCAUGUCACACUGGGACCCCCACGGCACUGGGAAC